AUUGAACGCUGGCGGAAUGCUUUACACAUGCAAGUCGAGCGGCAGCAUGGGUGCUUGCACCUGAUGGCGAGCGGCGAACGGGUGAGUAAUGCAUCGGAACGUACCCAGUCGUGGGGGAUAACUACUCGAAAGAGUGGCUAAUACCGCAUACGUCCUGAGGGAGAAAGUGGGGGACCGCAAGGCCUCACGCGAUUGGAGCGGCCGAUGUCUGAUUAGCUGGUUGGUGGGGUAAAGGCCUACCAAGGCGACGAUCAGUAGCUGGUUUGAGAGGACGACCAGCCACACUGGGACUGAGACACGGCCCAGACUCCUACGGGAGGCAGCAGUGGGGAAUUUUGGACAAUGGGCGCAAGCCUGAUCCAGCCAUUCCGCGUGAGUGAAGAAGGCCUCGGUUGUAAGACUCUUCGUCAGGAGAACGGAACGUAGGGAGUAAUACCUACGUUAAUUAGUACGGUACCGUCGAAGAAGAAGACACCGGCGUAACUACGU
rnacentral:rRNA from 1 species